UGAACCUGGCGCCAUGCUUUACACAUGCAAGUCGGACGGCAGCACAGAGAGCUUGCUUCUUGGGUGCGAGUGGCGAACGGGUGAGUAACAUAUCGGAACGUACCGGCAGUGGGGGAUAACUAAUCGAAAGAUUAGCUAAUACCGCAUAUUUUCUGAGGAAGAAAGCAGGGGACCAUUUGGCCUUGCGCUGUUUGAGCGGCCGAUAUCUGAUUAGCUAGUUGGUGGGGUAAAGGCCUACCAAGGCGACGAUCAGUAGCGGGUCUGAGAGGAUGAUCCGCCACACUGGGACUGAGACACGGCCCAGACUCCUACGGGAGGCAGCAGUGGGGAAUUUUGGACAAUGGGCGCAAGCCUGAUCCAGCCAUGCCGCGUGUCUGAAGAAGGCCUUCGGGUUGUAAAGGACUUUUGUCCAGGGAAGAAAAGGGCGGGGUUAAUACCCCUGUCUGAUGACGGUACCUGAAGAAUAGCACCGGCUAACUA
rnacentral:rRNA from 1 species